UACGGGGGGUGCGAGCGUUGUCCGGAAUCACUGGGCGUAAAGCGCACGUAGGCGGAUAUUUAAGUCGGUGGUGAAAUCCUGGAGCUCAACUCCAGAACUGCCUCCGAUACUGAAUGUCUUCGAGUCCGGGAGAGGUGAGUGGAACUGCGAGUGUAGAGGUGAAAUUCGUAGAUAUUCGCAAGAACACCAGUGGCGAAGGCGGCUCACUGGCCCGGUACUGACGCUGAGGUGCGAAAGCGUGGGGAGCAAACAGG
rnacentral:rRNA from 1 species